CGGUGCCUACGGGGGGCAGCAGUGGGGAAUAUUGCACAAUGGGCGAAAGCCUGAUGCAGCGACGCCGCGUGAAGGAUGAAGUAUUUCGGUAUGUAAACUUCUAUCAGCAGGGAAGAAAAUGACGGUACCUGACUAAGAAGCCCCGGCUAACUACGUGCCAGCAGCCGCGGUAAUACGUAGGGGGCAAGCGUUAUCCGGAUUUACUGGGUGUCAAGGGAGCGUAGACGGCGAUGCAAGCCAGAUGUGAGAGCCCGGGGCUCAACCGCUGGACUCCAUUU
rnacentral:rRNA from 1 species